rnacentral:rRNA from 1 species
AUUGAACGCUGGCGGCAUGCUUUACACAUGCAAGUCGAACGGUAACAGGCCGCAAGGUGCUGACGAGUGGCGAACGGGUGAGUAAUGCAUCGGAACGUGCCCAGUCGUGGGGGAUAACUACUCGAAAGAGUAGCUAAUACCGCAUACGAUCUAUGGAUGAAAGCGGGGGACCGUAAGGCCUCGCGCGAUUGGAGCGGCCGAUGUCAGAUUAGGUAGUUGGUGGGGUAAAGGCUCACCAAGCCAACGAUCUGUAGCUGGUCUGAGAGGACGACAGCCACACUGGGACUGAGACACGGCCCAGACUCCUACGGGAGGCAGCAGUGGGGAAUUUUGGACAAUGGGCGCAAGCCUGAUCCAGCAAUGCCGCGUGCAGGAAGAAGGCCUUCGGGUUGUAAACUGCUUUUGUACGGAACGAAACGGCUCUGGUUAAUACCCGGGGCUAAUGACGGUACCGUAAGAAUAAGCACCGGCUAACUACGUG